UCCGACUUGAAGGUCGGCAGUCUCGUUAGAGUGCCCAACUUAAUGCUGGCAACUAACGACAAGGGUUGCGCUCGUUGCGGGACUUAACCCAACCUCUCACGACACGAGCUGACGACAGCCAUGCAGCACCUGUGCUGGCGCUCCGAAGAGGGGCCAGUGUUUCCACCAGCUUUCACCAGUAUGUCAAGCCCAGGUAAGGUUCUCCGCGUUGCUUCGAAUUAAACCACAUGCUCCACCGCUUGUGCGGGCCCCCGUCAAUUCCUUUGAGUUUCAGCCUUGCGGCCGUACUCCCCAGGCGGGGUACUUACUGCGUUAGCGACGGCACCGAAGGGGUCGCUCCCCCCGACGCCUAGUACCCAUCGUUUACGGCGUGGACUAC
rnacentral:misc_RNA from 1 species